GGCUCCAGCCGCUGGCACCCUUUCAUGGUCGCAGGCAUUGUCUUCACAUCUUUAAGGGCAAAUGCCAAAAGGGAGAAAAGAUGAUGGACAACGAUGAUUUUACAAAGUCAGAGAAACAGCAUACAAGUAUGAAUCUUGUCAAUGGCACCAUAUCAAGCAUAGGUUAGCAGUUGCAGAACAGAGACACAGCGGCAGCUAAGUUGUUAAUUUACUUAAAUAUGUAAAUUAAGGGUCUUUUAACACUACAGUGAUGAAAUUUACUUGUUAGCAAACUCUCUGUUCUAUGGGUUUGUAUGAACAAUUUGUUCUGGUUCAAAGGAACAAAAACUGAGUCGUAAAGAUUAUAGUGUCAAAGAUUCAUUGGUAGUAGCAUGUGUGGAUCGUAUAAUGAUGGAUCAGAGGUAUGUGGAAAAAGUUGUGAUAUCUCAAUUCUCUAAGAUUUGCAGUAUGUUCAAUGCUUACAGGAUUGAAGAACAAAGAAAUAUCUGCUUCUUUAAGCAGUUCAUCAUGCUCAAAUCAAUGAUUCAACCACAUGAUACGA